rnacentral:rRNA from 1 species
GACGGGUGAGUAAUGCCUGGGAAAUUGCCCUGAUGUGGGGGAUAACCAUUGGAAACGAUGGCUAAUACCGCAUAAUGCCUUCGGGCCAAAGAGGGGGACCUUCGGGCCUCUCGCGUCAGGAUAUGCCCAGGUGGGAUUAGCUAGUUGGUGAGGUAAGGGCUCACCAAGGCGACGAUCCCUAGCUGGUCUGAGAGGAUGAUCAGCCACACUGGAACUGAGACACGGUCCAGACUCCUACGGGAGGCAGCAGUGGGGAAUAUUGCACAAUGGGCGCAAGCCUGAUGCAGCCAUGCCGCGUGUAUGAAGAAGGCCUUCGGGUUGUAAAGUACUUUCAGCAGUGAGGAAGGUUCAUGCGUUAAUAGCGUAUGGAUUUGACGUUAGCUGCAGAAGAAGCACCGGCUAACUCCGUGCCAGCAGCCGCGGUAAUACGGAGGGUGCGAGCGUUAAUCGGAAUUACUGGGCGUAAAGCGCAUGCAGGUGGUUUGUUAAGUCAGAUGUGA